rnacentral:rRNA from 1 species
AUGGCACACAAUAGAGCCCCUGGUCCGGAUAACAUCCCUGUGGAAUUCUAUCAGGUGUGUUGGGACAUAGUUAAAGAAGAUAUCAUGAGGCUUUUUGAGCAUUUCCGUAAAGGGACACUUGAUGUCCAACGCCUCAACUAUGGAGUGAUAACCCUUUUUCCCAAAACUGCUGAUGCUGAUAAAAUUCAGCAAUUUAGGCCUACAUGUCUCCUGAGAUGCUCGUAUAAGUUGAUUACCAAAGUUCUGGAUCGUCAUGUUGAGAGGGUUGGGGUCGUCCUGAAGCUUGAUUUUGAAAAAGCCUACGAUAAGGUAAACUGGGAUUUUCUCCUAGAAUGCCACAAGCUUCGAGGUUUCAAUGACACCAGGUGUGGGUGGAUUAAACAAAUCUUGCUUAAUGGGACAGUGAGUAUAAAGCUGAAUAAUGAGGUUGGUCCAUAUUUUCAGAGUGCCAAAGGGGUUCGACAAGGGACCCCCACUCCCCUUUCCUAUUUAAUUUGGUUGCUGACUGCCUUGCGAAAAUGA